GGCGGACAGGGAGGAGCUGCCUGAACAUCAUGCAGCGGGCCUUGGAACAUCGGCAGAAAGGCAGGGUCCAGCGCCUUGUGAGGAGGCUGCUCCGCUGUGGUCACAGGGAACCUUACCCGCAGGACUUCCUGAGCUGCAUGCCAGAACAUCCGCAGUAGCGCCAGGCCAAGGCAACGUGAACAUCAGAGUUGUGCUGCAGAGAUACCAUCUUCUGCUCUCCACGGGAUCCAGUCUAGACCA